UAAGAUGAGUACAGGACUUCCAAUUAAGAUCAUGUCUUCUAUGAAAGGACAAAGUUAUACUUCAUUCUGUAGGCUGGAUAUAAAUAUUCAUCGGAACAUCCCCCACAUUCAUGUGUAUGAAAAACGACAGAACAAAGAAAAGUGGCAUGGAGCUGAUAUCCAAAUACUCAUUGAAGGGAACUGGACAAGUUACCGUU